CCUACGGGAGGCAGCAGUGGGGAAUAUUGGGCAAUGGAGGCAACUCUGACCCAGCAACGCCGCGUGAAUGAUGAAGGUCUUCGGAUUGUAAAGUUCUGUGAUGGGGGAUGAACACAAUGACGGUACCCCAAUAGCAAGCCACGGCUAACUACGUGCCAGCAGCCGCGGUAAUACGUCGGUGGCAAGCGUUAUCCGGAAUGACUGGGCGUAAAGGGUGCGUAGGUGGUUUAGUAAGUUGGCGGUGUAAUUCCGGGGCUCAACCUCGGCGCUACCGCCAAAACUAUUAGACUAGAGUGCAGGGGGGGUAAGUGGAAUUCCUAGGGUAGCGGUGGAAUGCGUAGAUAUUAGGAGGAACAUCAGGGGCGAAGGCGACUUACUGGACUGUAACUGACACUGAGGCACGAAAGCGUGGGGAGCAAACAGGAUUAGAUACCCCUGUAGUC
rnacentral:rRNA from 1 species